rnacentral:rRNA from 1 species
GCAUAAUCUCUGAGGAGAAAAGCAGGGGAUCGCAAGACCUUGCGCUUUUGGAGCGGCCGAUGUCUGAUUAGCUAGUUGGUGAGGUAAAGGCUUACCAAGGCUUCGAUCAGUAGCUGGUCUGAGAGGACGACCAGCCACACUGGGACUGAGACACGGCCCAGACUCCUACGGGAGGCAGCAGUGGGGAAUUUUGGACAAUGGGGGCAACCCUGAUCCAGCCAUGCCGCGUGAGUGAAGAAGGCCUUCGGGUUGUAAAGCUCUUUCAGCCGGAACGAAACGGUCACGGUUAUUAACUGUGAUCACUGACGGUACCGGAAGAAGAAG